GAUUUCUGGCUUGGUGCGCCUGACCCGCCACCGUUAGGUGGUUGUGUGUCGGGUCGUGCCUGCCAUCCUUCUGGAGAACGGGUCUGCUCUUCAUUGAGUGGGUCCGCCAUCCAGAUCUUUUACUUUGAAAAAAUUAGAGUGUUUAAAGCAGGCUUGCGCUAUGAAUACAUUAGCAUGGAAUAAUAAUUUAGGACUUUGGUCUUAUUUUGUUGGUUUCUAGGACUAAAGUAAUGAUUGAUAGGGACAGUUGGGGGUGCUAGUAUUCAGCGGCCAGAGGUGAAAUUCUUGGAUUCGCUGAAGACUAACUUAUGCGAAAGCAUU
rnacentral:rRNA from 1 species